ACGUAGCAGAUCAAGAGUAAUUCAAAGGGGGUACAGCUCCUUUGAAAAAGGAUACAUCCUCCCCUAGAGGAUAACUACUCAGUACUUCCAGAACUGUAGGCCCUAAAGCAGCCAGGAACAAAAAGUGCGUCAAAGCUUCUCACACAAAAAUCCAUAAAACAACGUGACUCCCUUCUCACCAACAGGCUAACCUAUGCCAAUAGAAGGAUCAAUGCUAAAAUGAGUAACCAGGGAAUCCCCUCUUAAGCGCAACGUUACAUCACCACAUUAUUAACAGACACUGAUACAUCAAAUCCAACAAGAUUGAAUAUCAAACCAACCCUGUUAACCCAACCCAGGAGCGCCCACUAGAAAGAUUAAAAUCUGUAAAAGGAACUAGGCAAACCCAAGGCCCGACUGUUUACCAAAAACAUAGCCUUCAGCAAGCCAAGUAUUGAAGGUGAUGCCUGCCCAGUGACACCACGUUCAACGGCCGCGGUAUCCUAACCGUGCGAAGGUAGCGCAAUCAAUUGUCCCAUAAAUCGAGACUUGUAUGAAUGGCUAAACGAGGUCUUAACUGUCUCUUACGGAUAAUCAGUGAAAUUGAUCUCCCUGUGCAAAAGCAGGGAUAAGCACAUAAGACGAGAAGACCCUGUGGAACUUAAAAAUCAGCAGCCACCACAAGCACACCCACCACCUAUUAGGCUCACUACACCUAUAAACGCUGGCCCGCAUUUUUCGGUUGGGGCGACCUUGGAGAAAAACAAAUCCUCCAAAAAUAAGACCACCCCUCUUGACCAAGAGCAACCACUCAACGUACUAACAGUAACCAGACCCAAUAUAAUUGAUAAACGGACCAAGCUACCCCAGGGAUAACAGCGCAAUCUCCCCCAAGAGCCCAUAUCGACAGGGAGGUUUACGACCUCGAUGUUGGAUCAGGACACCCUAAUGGUGCAGCCGCUAUUAAGGGUUCGUUUGUUCAACGAUUAAUAGUCCUACGUGAUCUGAGUUCAGACCGGAGCGAUCCAGGUCGGUUUCUAUCUAUGAUUGGGCCUUCCCUAGUACGAAAGGACCGGGAAAGCAGGGCCAAUACUACCAAGCACGCCCUACCUCCAAGUAAUGACCUCCACUAAACUACCUAAAAGGCCACCCACACCCUAACAUCCUAGAAAAGGAUCGCUAGCGUGGCAGAGCCGGCAAAUGCAA
rnacentral:rRNA from 1 species